GUGGGGUUGUGCCACUCUGCUAUAGUUGUUGUAUCUUUCAUCAUGUUGUGGUGUUACAUGUUGUUGUAACUGGUAGCAGAAAGGUAAGUGUCUCCAUGCUCUUGUGAGAUGCUGCCUGUGGAUCUGGCUGUGCAGUAAAACCAGUAAGUGCCAGAAACUUGUGAUGGGCCUCAGCAAAAUGAAUCCUCCUGAGGAGACAGAGCACCUCUCAACCUAACAGUUUCCUAUGUCCAGAGCAGUUCCUAGGUAUGUUCCAGGGAAAGGCAUUUUAUCUGACCAGCUGUACAGUGUACAGACACAAACCACAGCCAGCGUGUGUGCAAGCUCCUGGUUUGUUGCAUGAGCCUGAGCUUUUUGACUCCCAGUGCACAGUGGGAGUUAACAAGCUUUCAAGGUACUUUGCAUGAGCUCAAAUAUUGAUCAGCUCUGCUGCUAUUUGCAUUAUGUGUGCUGUUGCCCAGCAAAAAGUGUGGUUUCUGUUCUGAUUUCUUAUCUCUCAUUCAUUAACCUUUAAUCAACAGAAGCAAAUAGUUUCUCCCAUGUCAUCUCUAUUUUACUAUGCUAAAAGCAGCUAUUUAUGUAGCUGCUGUGUGUAACGUUGUAGACCAGAAUGCUCUUCUUAUGAAGGGCUUAUGGUCCAACUGCACGUGGGAUUUGAGUGGCAAAUGAGAAUCCUCUGCAAAUCAUCUGUCGCUUCUUUGUAAGCCCCGCUUCCCUUCCUUACGUCUGCAUUUGGACUGGGGAUAAUGAACUUCCUGUAUCAUGCACUGCGACACAAGGACACCCAUUGUAUGCGAACCAAGGAAGAGUGUAUCAGUGAGUGGUUUGUAAGGCAGCUCUGACGGGUCUUGUUAGAAUGACUUACUCUCAGAGUUCCAGUGGUUUGAUUAAGUGGAUCAUGUGAUAAGCACUUAUAAUGAACUUCUUCACAUGCUGCCAGGGGAGGCCCGGCAGAUAAAGUGCUUAAUCCCACGGCUAUUGCUCUGUGCAUAACAAACUGAUUGCAAAGACAGAAGAGUCGUACAAUUCAUUGGUUUCUACUAUGCAGGACAGCACAACAGCGUUAUACAAUUUUCUUUCUGCUGCCCAAGUCAAAAUAUCCUUGCUACUAAAUCCAGUUCAAACUAGCACACUUUUCCUCCCGCAGCUCACCAAGCUCUCAGCCAGGCAGGUCAAGGCUGAAUGUAACCACCUGCAGCAAGCCUAGGCUUGCUUCUGAGUGAUUUCUUUCUUAUUAAAGAAAACAGACCCCUCAGAAACAACAACAAACAAGACCAGGGCAUAAACUCCUGAGUAACCCCAGCUAGUUUGUUUUAAAAAUAAAAAUCUAGGUCAGCCUGAAUCACCGCAGGGGUAAUCUUCAUUUCACUGCAAACAGCAGCAGAGGUCAACAAGCCAGCCUCACAUGGGGCAUCUCUUGCAGUUUUGGCUGAAACCUAUGGGACCGAUGACCAGGGUGAUGUAUGGAUGUUGAACACGGAAGGAUUUUACUCCAUGCUUAAAACAAUUCAGAUUUCCUGUGUAGGCCUAUCCCCAGGGACUGAAAACCUGGUGUAGACAACUCAUAAAUAAAGCGAGUGAGACAUGAGCAAGAAAAAGCAUGGCGUACUUCUGGGAAUCACUCCAGGAAAAUAAAUGUGCAAGAUGGCACAUCACCCUACACAAAGCUGGCAAAGGCUUUCCCAUGUGUCAAAUGACCCAGAUACUUCAACAUUUCCUGAACUGCGCUCCCGAUGAAGGACAGGAUAAGGUGGGACAGGAGAGGAUACAGUAGAGGAAUGACCUACAGUGUUCUGUACUUUGUUCUUGAUAUGAGCAGAGUAACCUCCCUCAAAGCACCUACUGUGAAAUCUGCAGUCCAUGACAAGGUUCCAAGGCCUGGCAAGAUACCUGAGUCAGCAGAGCAUGCCUGCCCACCUGGAGUCUAUAAUAUCAGCAGGCACAUCAGCUUAAUGCUCAAAAGAACAGCAUGAAUGCGUUUCUCCAGCCAUGAGAAAGAGUGUUAAAUUUGUGCAAUUUUCCCCUACAUUCUCCAAACAGUUACGUAAAACCAGCCCAUAUUUCCCUCUUACUAUGGGGUGAAUAUAAUUCUCUCUGAAAAAAAAAAUCUGCUUCUGAAAGAAGAUGUUAAUUUGCAGGAAUGAUUAAUAGUUCUGCUGACUGCUAGAAAUCCAGCUAGAGCAGUUAGAGUAUGGUGGCUUUACAGGAGAGGGAUAAAGUUUAUUAGAUUUUCUGUAACUGAGUGUCCUCAGCUGAACCUACCAACCCUUUGCUGUGCAAGGAUUGUAACUCCCGCUGCAGUUGGAUCAGCCUCCAUUUCUAUUUUUAGUGCAGAUCUUGCUCCUUAUUUAGCCCUGAUUGCACAGCCAGAACUGCGUUCUCAGCAGCUCAGUGAAAAGCCUGCCUGUUCCAUUUUAUAACUUUUCCAGACAAAAAGAUGGGAAGCCUGCAGCUUUCCAAACACUCUUAUUUUUAAGAGCUUGCAAUACGAUACAGCCUAAAACCCAAGGGCUGAAUGAAUCCCUGCUGAAAUACUAUUGAAUUUUCCGGAGUUUUAUUCAGCAUUAAUUUGGCUGCUCGUAAGAUACUUGGGAGAUUAAAACAUUAACAAAACAAACAACUCCCUCCCCUCACCCCA